rnacentral:rRNA from 1 species
AUUGAACGCUGGCGGCAGGCCUAACACAUGCAAGUCGAACGCGUGGCGGACAGGUGAGUGAAGUCUGGGAAAAUGCCCGAUGGAGGGGGGUAACACCUGGAAACGGUAGCUAAUACAGCAUACCAUCGGAUGUGCCCAGAUGGGAUUAGCUAGUGGGUGGGGUAACGGCUCACCUAGGCGACGAUCCCUAGCUGGUCUGAGAGGAUGACCAGCCACACUGGAACUGAGACACGGUCCAGACUCCUACGGGAGGCAGCAGUGGGGAAUAUUGCACAAUGGGCGCAAGCCUGAUGCAGCCAUGCCGCGUGUAUGAAGAAGGCCUUCGGGUUGUAAAGUACUUUCAGCGAGGAGGCGUUACUCGCAGAAGAAGCACCGGCUAACUCCGUGCCAGCCGCCGCGGUAAUUC